GCCUAGGGAGCUGCUCUCUGACCUCCAUCAGUACCUGAGCCUUCGAAGCAUUGAGGGGGGCGUAGUUGCGGGAUCUUCCCGGUGGAGAACCCCGCCGAACCCCGCAAUCCGAACUUCUCUGCCUGCAUACCCGGGGUGAAGUAUGGGCACGCUUGUGCCCAGGAGGGGAUCGAGAAUGCGGCCGAGCUUCUCUCGACCUUUUUUCGGC
rnacentral:lncRNA from 1 species